rnacentral:rRNA from 1 species
GACGAACGUUGGCGGCGUGCUUAACACAUGCAAGUCGAACGGUGAAAGCGGAGCUUGCUCCGCUGGAUCAGUGGCGAACGGGUGAGUAACACGUGGGCAACCUGCCCCUCACUUCGGGAUAACUCCGGGAAACCGGGGCUAAUACCGGAUAUGACCUCCUUGGGCAUCCUUGGAGGUGGAAAGUUUUUCGGUGAGGGAUGGGCCCGCGGCCUAUCAGCUUGUUGGUGAGGUAGUGGCUCACCAAGGCGACGACGGGUAGCCGGCCUGAGAGGGCGAGCGGCCACACUGGGACUGAGACACGGCCCAGACUCCUACGGGAGGCAGCAGUGGGGAAUAUUGCGCAAUGGGCGAAAGCCUGACGCAGCAACGCCGCGUGCGGGAUGACGGCCUUCGGGUUGUAAACCGCUUUCAGCAGGGAAGAAGCCGCAAGGUGACGGUACCUGCAGAAGAAGCACCGGCUAACUACGUGCCAGCCGCCGCGGUAACAC